rnacentral:rRNA from 1 species
AAACGACUCUCGGCAACGGAUAUCUCGGCUCUCGCAUCGAUGAAGAACGUAGCGAAAUGCGAUACUUGGUGUGAAUUGCAGAAUCCCGUGAACCAUCGAGUCUUUGAACGCAAGUUGCGCCCCAAGCCAUUAGGCUGAGGGCACGUCUGCCUGGGUGUCACGC